AUCUCAUAACACCCUUCAUGGGUGAAACCUUCAACAGAACCUUCUCACCAACCAUGUAGGACACAUCUCGAACCUUCUUGUCAGCAUAACUCUUUUGUAUCGAUUGUGCUGUACGAAACCUCUCCUAAAUCACCUUCACCUUUUCUAAAACAUCCUGCACCAAGUCUGUCCCUAAUAGCCUAGCCUCACCCGGUUCAACAUGACUGAGCAUGAAAACAGUGGGAAAUAACAUGACUGAGAUCAAGUAAUAACUCAAAACAGUGAGGAAUAUCUAUAAAUAGCCCCGAAGGGGUCAAAUAGUUGGCUCUAGGCCUAAAUAUGGCAUUCAACCCAAAUAAUGAUGAUAGAAAACAGUUUUCAAUCAAAUACGAGGUAAAAUCAUCAAUCAGGGCGGACCCAAUCACAAUCCCCAAUAGUGCACAACCUCAUACUCGCCAUCAAGCGUGUGUCUCACCUCAAUAUAGCACUACGAUGUGCAAUCCGGAGUUUCAAACCCUCAAAACAUCAUUUACAAUCAUUACUCAUCUUGAACCGGCUAAAUCUCUAGCUCGCAACGCCUUCGCCCCUCGAAUCGGCCUCCACGCGCGUCAAAUCUAUCCAAAAUCAGAAGGAGGAUGUCAAACUAUGCUAAGGGAACAAAGCCCAAGUGAAAACAAUCAAUAAAGGGCAUAAAUCCCGAAAUUAGCAAAAUCCGAGCCCCGGGCCCACUUCUCGAUACUCAGAAAUUUUCACUUUAUUAGAUUCCUUAUCUCUCCACGAGUUCAUACAUGUCAAAAGUUCUCAAAUCCGACCCCAAAUGGUCCUUCAAAUCCCCAAUCAAAAGUCCAAUUUCUCAAGCCCUAGUUCUUCAAUUUUAGGCUUAGUUUUCAUGAUUUUCUAGGUAGAUUUCACAAUAGAAUCGAGUUCUAAGUCCAAAAUUCUUACCUCCAAACGUUUCCCCUUGAAUUCCUCUUUAAUCUCCUUCAAAAAGCUCUAAAAACGAUCAAUUAUGGAGGAAAAUAGAGCCACAUUCGCGGACAAGACGCCUUUUAAACAUUCUGCCCAGGCCUGGAAAUCCUUCUUCGCGAACGCGGUCAAAGCCUCGCGUUCGCGAAGAACAAACUUAUUUUGACCAAAUUUCCUUCUAUGCGAUCGCGACAAAGCCCUCGUGAAUGCGAUGCUUCACCCAGGCGACCCUUCACGAAUGCGCUCUAUCUCUCGCGAACGCGAAGAUCAACUUGACUUCUAACCCAGCUGACCAAGUUCUUCUACGCGAUCGCGAACACCUUCUCGCGAAUGCGAUGCACAGCCUCGCAGCCCUUCGCGAAUGUGUCACCUGCCUCACGAAGGCGAAGGCUAAACCUUCACCUCCCCCAGUAGACUCUUCGCGAACGCGAAGACCAAAAAUGUCUGCAACUGCUGGAACUGUUUUUCUGCAAUUUUCCAAACUCCAAAAUGGUCCGAUUGACCACCCGAAACUCACCUGAGGCCCCCGGGACCUCAACCAAAAGCACCAACAUAUCCUAAAAACUAUUCAAACUUGUUCCAAUCAUCAAAAUACCUCAAACAAUAUCAAAUCACCCAAAACACAUCGGAUUCAAGCCUAAGUUUCUAAAAUCUUCCGAAAUAUGCUUUUGAUUAAGAACCCAACCAAACCACGUCCGAAUGAGCUGAAAUUUUUCACACACAUCCCAAAUUACAUAACAAAGUUACUGCAACUCUCAGAAUUCCAUUCUGACCUCUAUAUAAAAAUCUUGCCUAUCAACCGGAAAUCGCCAAAAUAUCAACUUCGCCAUUCAAGCCUAAAUCUACUACGGACCUCCAAAAUUCAUUAUGAUUACACUCCUAAGCCAAUAAUCACCUCCCGAAGCUAACCGAACCAUGAGAACUCACAUCCAAGCCCUCUAUCAUAUAAGUCAACAUCCAGUUGACUUUUUCAACUUAAACUCACUCUAAAGAGACUAAGUGUCUCAAACCUUGCCAAAUCCUUUUCGAACUCGAUCCGACCAACCCGAUACCACAUAACAUGGAUAAUUAAAGCAUAGGAAAGCAAAAAUUGGGAAAACGGAGCGGCAACUCAUGAGACGACUGGCCAGGUCGUCACAGAAGGAGAAAUUGUAGGAGAUGGUGUUAAAUACAUGACUCUGCGGCUCUAUACAAAUAUCAUACUUGUUCUUCUCAAAUUUAAUAAGUAAAUUAUAGGUAUAACUAUAUAAUUCAUUCGCACCAACGCACAUCAUCAGUGAUAAAUAAUAAAAAUAAGUAUAAUGCAGAAAUAUAGAAAAGCCAGCCUACCCGACAAAAUGAUCGCUAAACUCUAUGUUGGAGCGUUUCAACUACCAAUUGGUUUAGUAAUUCUAAAGAUUAAUACGUAGCAGAGCAUGCCAAAUAUUACUAUGCGAACCUUUGCAAAAUUUAUAACUAAACUAAAUCAGCUCUUUUAGUAAUCCAUGUUGUCAAAUCUUGAAUGAAGUCAAUUGUUUGUCUAAACUUAAUGUUUUGAAUUUAGUAUACUAUUCAACUUAGCAUAUGAUUUUAGAGUUACUUCUUGUAUUUUGUUGUCAAGAAAGCUGAAGCUUUUGUUCAUUAUUUCAACCGGUAGAUACUGUACAGAGCUAUUUUCAGAACUAAAUAUCCUCACACAUAAGAAGUCUUCUCACUGUUUCCUAGAACUCUAGUCUGUAAUUGUCGUACUUGAAGAAAAACUAUCACAAUAGUUCAAGCUAUUGUUUUUUCCUUAUUCUCUUUGUUGGUACUUUUUGUGAACUUUAACACAAAAAUUAAGUAGCCAAAUCUGCUUUCAAAAUCUGUUAGGCAAAAGAAAUCGAAAAAAUGUGGUAUCCUAAACAAACAAAUAGUAAGACAGUAAUCCUGCAUGUGGAGCUUAGAAGUUAAAAGUAAUGCAGAGUUUGAUUUAUAACUAGUUGAACUAAACUUACAUCAUAACAGUGAAAGAUAAUAGCAGCAACAUCUAGAAAGCAGAAGUAGAUUCAACCGCAUUCUGAAAUAGCAGCAAGAAGUGGCUUAAUUGCAUACCUUUCACCAUAAGGUGUCUUUGAGGUUCAAAGAGAAUGUGCGAGUUGUUGAGAAUGCAUAUGCAACAUAUUAUCUAAGAUAAAUUAAGACUAAAGUAAACUCAAUUUUAGUGAAAAAACUUUCAAGGCUCAAACCAGUCUCUUAAGCUACCAAAUAGGUUGGCAAUCAUAGUCAUAGAGGACGACAUCAAUACCCAAUAAGACCAAUACUUCGGACCCUUCUUGGGAAAAUCUCAAAAAAUUAUUGGAGAUUAUGCUUGUAACUGACAUACCUCUUUAAAAAGAUAUUUGUGCUCUCACCAUAUAAAGAAACAUGUCCACAUGUUGAACUGACCGGCCAUAUUGUCAAGUAUACAUGAGCUUCAUAUAUCAAAUGUAAUUUAUAUCCAAUCAUAUUGCUACCCACUAUUUACCGUAUAAUGAUAAUCAAAUUCAUUAUGAUAUAAGUAAUAUUGUCUUCCUUAAUAAUUAUAAUCAUAACCAAAUCAAAUGUUCAGAAUAAAAACACAGAAGAGGUAUUAAACAUGAGAACAUUUCAUUUAACAAACUACACAACAAUAAAAGUUUGGAUAGAAUUUUUCAUGAAUAAUUAUGAAGAGCCCAAAUUGAUAAGAUUUCAGCAAGCAUUGGUCCAAACUUUGAUGCGCAAGUUCAAACUAAAUGUUCAUGUGAUGUUAAAUCUAUUUCAUAAUACCUGAUUUUCCUCUAUUCUCAUCAUUCUCUCACACAAUCUGGCAAAUAAAGUAAUGAUUAUUAUAGAAUACUUAUACUGCAUAUAUUUCUCAAAGAACUUGGUGCUUAGCAAAUUUUGCAAGUUUUUAAUCAAGUUUGCUCUUUUAAGCCUAAACCAACUCUGAAGAUACAGUUAAUUUAAUAACACAAAUCUACCUAAAUUGCUCAGAAUAAGAACAACAUUAUAACUUUGAAGAUGUAUUGGCUGAUUUAGUAAUAAAUUGAGCUGACAGAAAGAUGUCGUAUGCUUGAUUCAGCUUUGAUUUCUUAUAAUUUCACUAAGAGAGCCUCUUUUAAUUAGCUUGCAUCACUCUAUAUAAUUUUCUGUCGCCUAGCCUUUUUAUCAGCAUGUACUUUUCGCAUGGUUUGAUCAUUUGUAUCAUUUCAGCAGCCCUUUUCUAUUCUCUGAACUUAGCUAUCGCAACCAAAUCUAAUAGUGAGAAAAUUAUAUGUACUAAUAAAUCAUAUCUAUAUCUAUGUACAUAAUCUAUCCUCUAUUUCUAAAAGUUUAUAACGUAGAAUUUUGAAAUUAGUGUUUGGAUAUUUAGAAUUUUCUGAUGAAAUUGACGUAGCACAGUCAACCAAAGAUUCUGACCAAGUUAAAUCUGCUGAAUCAACAUAGAUAUCUACAAUCCACAAUCUAAAUUAAACAGAGAGAAGGGCAACUUUUGAGAUGAAAAAGAGGUAGACACAGAACAUGCAGGAAACAAAGAGAAGAGAGAAAAUUCACCUUUGUUUCUGAUGAAGAGCUCCAAGUUGUCUCUUUCUUGCUGUCCUACACUCUUCUUCUUGAUGCUCUAAACCCAAAAGGUCAGAUCAGAUUAAAAAAACAAACACUUUAAGAUAGAUGGAACAAUAUUAUACAAUGAGGGAAAAAAGAUAUCAUGCAUACAAAUCAAGAGGAAAAGAACAAAUUUUUGUCAAACUUUCGAAUAGGAGCAAACCAGUGAAUUUGGAAAAGUAUCAUGGCUGAAGAAAAUCGAAAGAAAAAAGAGUAAGAGCUACAAAACUAUGGUGGUGGCUGUAGAAAUAAAUGUGGUGUAUCUCUUUGUAGAUAUAAUGAAUAAUAUGCCCUUGUUUUGAAAUUUAUUGACGUGAAGCACACACAUCGAAACUAAAGUUGCCAUAAAAUAUAAGAGUAACACAAAGUGAUAGUACACAACUUUCUACAUUCAAAAGUAAUCUAUAUGCUUUUUAUCUUCUCGUUACCAAAUCAACCACAAAGCUACAGUGAAAAUAUCCCAUCUCCCACCAUCAAAUGAAAAAAAUGAUAAAAAGAAAAGUGAAUCUGUCCGAGUCUUUCAAAGAAUAGGGAGGGCAUAGAAGGAUAAUCUUACCUUGAUAAAAUCCAUCAACAAAGCAUUUUCCCAAAAAGUCAGACCAACAGAAGUCAAAUCAAAAAUAAUAAAAGAGUGAAAGAAUGAGAAAAAGAAUGCUCCAGAAAACUAACAAUUGUUACCUUGCCCAAAACUAAAGCUUCAACAUAGGAGGAGCAUUUCUUUACCGAGCUUACUAUGAAUGCUAAAAAUAUGAGUAAUUUGUUACCUGCAAAUCAAACUAAAUGCAAGAUAGAGCUGAGCUAAAACCCAACAAUUGAAGCCUUUCUGCAGAUGGUGCAGAAACUCAAAUCUCGUUCUUGUUAUUUAGACAGAGAUAAACAAAAUCAGUAGUAGUUUACCGUGACAGAACCACGAAAGAGCAAAAGAGAUGAGAUGAAAUUGAAGAAAAAGAAACAUUGGAAGAGAACUGGAGAAGAUACAAAACUCCAAACUUUAUUAAGCAAUGUGAGGCUAUACCCAAAAUUUUCUUCUUCUUAAGUAGGCUUAUCAAUCAGAUCCGAGUCAGUAUUGGGUUGAGAUGAAAAAGCAUUUAGACUCUAAAAAAGAAAAGAUCAACAAUGGGAAACUAUUAAGCUUCUGGUAAAAGGGAAAAAGAGAGAUAAAGCGAGAUACAAAGGAUGAAAUUUGAGGUUGAAGAUGAAUGAAUUCUACAGCCACUGAAUAGCAAAACUAAAAACGAUGGAGAGAAAUCUAAAAGAAAAAAAUUAAGGAAAAAGAAGAAGAUAUAUGCAAAAUUAAUUGCAGCAAGAACACAAACAGAUCUUGAGAGCACUGGGGCUGAAGAUGGGAAAAGGAUGCGGUGGC
rnacentral:lncRNA from 1 species